AAACCAUCAAGCCCAGCUUGGUAUUGGACGCGGUCGAGUGACCCGUCCGUAACCCGUUGGCGGUGCAGUCCGGCUUCGAGCGUAGCAGAAUCCUCGCUUCAGGAGUCCGUACGGCGCCCGCCAGGAAAUGGCCACCUUUUAAA
rnacentral:misc_RNA from 1 species